AGAUGCAAUUGCAAGGCUCUCGUACUUCUAUAAGCACGAGAGCUGUGGUCAAUGUACACCAUGUAGGGAAGGCACAGGGUGGCUUUGGAUGAUCAUGGAAAGAAUGAAGGUUGGCAAUGCAAAAUUAGAAGAGAUUGACAUGCUCCAAGAGGUGACGAAACAGAUUGAAGGGCAUACCAUUUGUGCAUUGGGUGAUGCUGCUGCUUGGCCAGUUCAGGGCCUCAUUAGGCACUUUAGACCAGAGCUAGAAAGGAGGAUCAGGGAGCACGCAGACAGGGAGCUACAGCAGGCUGCUGCUGCUUGAUUGUUGUGAAAGAUGUUUGAUACCAUGGAAUAAAUUUGAGAAGUACCAGAAGUACGAAAGUAAGAGGGGAAAGCAGGAUCCAAAGCUUCCCUAUCGAGCCGCCUUUUUUAUUGUGAAGUUGUGUGAACUAUUUUUAACUGUUGGUACAACGGGUACUUUAUGUUUCAGAGCUGGUACAUCUAAUGUCUUAUGUAUGAAAGAUACAUUAUCAUUCCCAUGGCUUUGAUAGUUGAAAGAUGCAUAGUUUUUUGUCAUGUGUUAAAUAAAAGCUAUACUUUGGCGAUCC